UCGAUCUGUUGCGGGCAGAUAAAGUGGAUAUGGGUGUCGAUGCCGCCUGCGGUAAGGAUCAUGCCUUCGCCGGCGAUCACUUCGGUGCUGGCGCCGAUGGCGAUGGUGACGUUGGGCUGGAUAUCCGGGUUGCCGGCCUUGCCGAUGGCGUGGAUGCGCCCGUUCUUGAGGCCCACAUCGGCUUUGACAAUGCCCCAGUGAUCGAUAAUCAGCGCAUUGGUGAUCAGCGUGUCGACCACUUCACUGGCGAGCAGUUGGCUCUGCCCCAUGCCGUCAC
rnacentral:sRNA from 1 species